GCUUGAUCUGAGGGAGGAGAGGCAGUUAGGGGUGGAUCCUGUUGCUCUGGGUCCCAGGACACCAUCAGGCUAAGAACUAUGGCCCCAUGACGUUGGACUGUUGAGCAAGACUCUCUCUGAGAGGAAGGCACCAGCGCCCUUAAGGGGCUUCAGAAAACUGGGCAUUUCUCUUUGAUUCAAAGGGAGGAGGAGAGAACACCUAAGGACCCCGAAGCUAAGGGGGUUGAGGGUCGUUAGAAGCACAGGCAAGAAGAAAAUCCCAGGGAGCCUCAGGAGAGUGCUACCAUACCUGCUUGAAGAAAGAGUGGUUCAGGAGGGUACUGGCACUUGGUCUGUGGAGAAAGGGGAAGAGAGCCCAGCAUUACCCCUGUGCCCCAGGAUUCCCAAAUCCUGCUGCUCACACCUUAUCCCCAGGCUCCCUCUGCUUCUUCCCUCAGCUCUAGAAGAAACAACAGCCCGAGCUACCCAGGUCGCUUCUUAGCAAACCGUUGUGUUGAUCCCUCUGGCCGCAGGAGCUCGGGACUCCUCCAGGAACCCAGCCCUCCACAGAACAGAUGAAUCCUCUCAAACCCUGCCUUCGACCCCCCAGGCCCUCUCUGCCCCCCACAAAGCCCGGCUCCCAGCCCACAGGAAAUACCUUACGUCUGGGCUACGCUGAAGGCACUGCUCCACAAAGUGAUGGAAGUGGGGGGAAAAGGAAGGAACAUUGAUGCUGCCUCUAACCACCAUGGAUAUGAAUGAUGGCAUCUACAUAUGUCCCCUGAGAGGCCUGUGUGAGGGUUUCUUUGGGGCGUACCCCCAGAGCAGCAUUGACGGCCCCAGUGCCGAGUGACCCUGACUGCUUGCAUUGGGCCAUCUUCCACUGUGCGGUCAGGAGACCCCACCUCACCACACUGGGCUUCAGCCAGCCUCCAAAUGACACUGGUCUCAGAUUUGGAAGACAGAAGCAAAGGAGAGUCACAAAAGCCAGUUUUGUCACCCUGAGUCCUGCUAACUAGCUGACAGCCUCUGGCACACGCUGAUCUGGGGAUGCAGAGGAGGCCACAGGAGUGCCCAGGAGCCUGAAGAUGGAACAGAGAAAAUGGAGAAACCAGAGUAUGCGGGGUAGAGCUUGAUCAAUAGUUAAGGUUGGUUUGAUUUUCACUUUUACAGUUAUCUGUUUUCAAAUGCUCUGAAAAUACGUUCUAGGAACAUUUAUAGCCAUUGUGGCUUCUUGACACUGUGGUGUUCAGAAUAAUCCCAAGUGCCUCUGCCAGCUGAGACACACACACACAACUAUGGGACAAAACAGAGUAGUAAUUUGAGCAAAAAGCCCAAACCAGGAGCUCUGAAAUGGCAACCUACCAUUUGUUUAGAAUUUAUAAGCUGCAAGCUAAGUUAGUCUUGAGUCCCACCUUAACUUCAUACCUCUCACCACCUGUGCGUAAUCUUGUUCUACAGAUCCUGUUUUCUCAACUAUCAAUCUACCCCUCAUAAAAUCGGCGUCAUCAGUUAACACAAAACCCAGGGUGUGGCUUUCAGACCCAAAGUCCCUACUCUGAUCUGUGAGUAUCCACAUGAUUCGGCCCCUGCCUACUUCUAAUGACUUCAUCCCUUACCACAUCCCUGUGACUUGCUACACUUGACCCAUACGAACAGGUGCACUUCAAUCUUAGGAAGCUCACACCAGCAGUCCCUUGGUUUGGAACAUUCCGGCCCUACUCCUUCCUGCCCCUGCUAUUUUCUCAUAGCUGCUUCUUCCCUACCAUUGAGAUUUCAACUUAAAUGUCAUCUAUGCAUUGAGGACUCUGAGCAGAAAGUAAAGUAGGCUCUUGGUCACUUUAUUAUGUCAUCUUGUUUUACUUUCCUCACAGUAGUUAUUAUUGUGUUCAUGUGUUGCCUGCCUCCUCAAUUAGAAUGCAAGCUCCAUGAGGGUAUAGAUCCUGACUGUCUUGUCAAUUUGGUAUUCCCAAUGCCUACAGUGAUGCUGGCACAUAAAAAGAUGAUUUAAACAAGUUUGAGCUGAGGUUUCCUGGCCAUGACCUUGUCAUUGCCAUGAGUUAAAGAGGACAGUAGGCUACAUGUACCAGCCAGUUCCACUGGAGACAGAGUUCAACAUAAUGACCUAUACAGGAAAAACCAGCCCUCAUGCAACGCACUCACUGGAUCCCCUGCUGCUAGGGGCACUUUAUAGAUCAGAAUCUGGUACCUGCAUGUGAGAAAGUACUGCAUUUUUUAGCAGGUAGAAUCUAGAACCACUAUAUAUUUGAAGGUCUUCCCCCUGAUCUCCAGGCAAACUCCAAAAUACUUCUCUAAUUUGAAAAAGAGGCUAUGAAGGACAGCUGGAGUUGUGAGAUUAAAGUGCUUAUUAAAUGCAUUUUAAAAAACUCCCAUGGGAAAAACUACUGAUAGAUACUUUUUCAUUACCUAUGACCCUCUUCCUUGCUAGAAGUGCAUAUAAGACAUGCUGUCUACUAGGCAAUACACUAAAGACAUACACUUGCUGAGCCAAGGUAGGAAAUUAUGCA